AGAGUUUGAUCAUGGCUCAGAUUGAACGCUGGCGGCAGGCCUAACACAUGCAAGUCGAGCGGAUGAAGGGAGCUUGCUCCUGGAUUCAGCGGCGGACGGGUGAGUAAUGCCUAGGAAUCUGCCUGGUAGUGGGGGAUAACGUCCGGAAACGGGCGCUAAUACCGCAUACGUCCUGAGGGAGAAAGUGGGGGAUCUUCGGACCUCACGCUAUCAGAUGAGCCUAGGUCGGAUUAGCUAGUUGGUGGGGUAAAGGCCUACCAAGGCGACGAUCCGUAACUGGUCUGAGAGGAUGAUCAGUCACACUGGAACUGAGACACGGUCCAGACUCCUACGGGAGGCAGCAGUGGGGAAUAUUGGACAAUGGGCGAAAGCCUGAUCCAGCCAUGCCGCGUGUGUGAAGAAGGUCUUCGGAUUGUAAAGCACUUUAAGUUGGGAGGAAGGGCAGUAAGUUAAUACCUUGCUGUUUUGACGUUACCAACAGAAUAAGCACCGGCUAACUUCGUGCCAGCAGCCGCGGUAAUACGAAGGGUGCAAGCGUUAAUCGGAAUUACUGGGCGUAAAGCGCGCGUAGGUGGUUCAGCAAGUUGGAUGUGAAAUCCCCGGGCUCAACCUGGGAACUGCAUCCAAAACUGCUGAGCUAGAGUACGGUAGAGGGUGGUGGAAUUUCCUGUGUAGCGGUGAAAUGCGUAGAUAUAGGAAGGAACACCAGUGGCGAAGGCGACCACCUGGACUGAUACUGACACUGAGGUGCGAAAGCGUGGGGAGCAAACAGGAUUAGAUACCCCGGUAGUCCAA
rnacentral:rRNA from 1 species